UACAGAGGGGGCAAGCGUUGUUCGGAAUUACUGGGCGUAAAGGGCGCGUAGGCGGCCUGUUAAGUCGAACGUGAAAUCCCUGGGCUCAACCCAGGAACUGCACUCGAAACUACUUGUCUUGAGUGCCGGAGAGGAAAGCGGAAUUCCUGGUGUAGAGGUGAAAUUCGUAGAUAUCAGGAGGAACACCAGUGGCGAAGGCGGCUUUCUGGACGGUGACUGACGCUGAGACGCGAAAGCGUGGGGAGCAAACAGG
rnacentral:rRNA from 1 species